rnacentral:rRNA from 1 species
GACGAAGGAUGCAAGCGUUAUCCGGAUUCAUUGGGUUUAAAGGGUGCGUAGGUGGCGCGCUAAGUCAGGUGUGAAAUUUCGGAGCUUAACUCCGAAACUGCAUUUGAUACUGGCGUGCUUGAGGACUGGAGAGGAGACUGGAAUUUACGGUGUAGCAGUGAAAUGCGUAGAGAUCGUAAGGAAGACCAGUGGCGAAGGCGGGUCUCUGGACAGUUCCUGACACUGAGGCACGAAGGCCAGGGGAGCAAACGGG